AAAUUUUAGCUAGCAGACGUCACCAUGAAUUAAGUCGACACUCAAAUCCUUUUCAAUCAUAUGUCAUAUGAAGAGAUAAAACAUCUCGGUGCUCAUCGACCAUUGAACAUAAACAUUACACAACAAGUUGAAAAUCGCAAAUUCAACUAUGAGUGAUUUGGGAAGGAAUCAGUGGCUAUCUAAUCCGCCGCGCCACUUUCCUCUUCAAGCACAUCACAACCACGAGUGCAGGGUAACAUGUUGGUUGUCCAAUACCAAAAAUGCAAGAAGUUCAUGAAGUUGCAGCCUGUGUUCUCUUAUGGAGAUGUCAUCAAUCAAGUCUCUCUUUUUGAAGUCCAAAAUAGAUUUGGACUGCCCUCUGCAGCACAAAUGCACAUUUUUGAUGAUUCCCAAACUGAGGUUGAGGAGGAUGUCCUGCUGGACCUGAUUGAGGCCAUUCCAGACCUCACAAUCAAAGAUCUUGAUGAAGGUAUUUUUCUACAGCCUCUCAUAUAAAUAUUGAGUAACAUGAAUGAUAGAUUGAUUGCUUUGAUCCAUUGUUUGUGCUCAGACAACCAGGACAUCCCGUGGUCAUUUUUAUAGUGGUGUGCAACUUGCAGGAUAAUUACAAGAUUUAAACCACGAGAGGGGGACUGUCAUGACUCUCGCUCCUGGGUGAGGAUCAAAUACAGCCCCCACCCCCUCUCUCCCACCAGAGAGGAAGGGGGGGAAGUUGGGCUGGUUUUAUGUCUUAAUGACCGGUCGUAAACGUUCUCUCUCUUGCCGUUGCAGUAUUGAGAAUGGAAUGUCUGAGUGUUACAACAGAGAAAGACUGCAAUACUUAAACAUCAGAAGAUUGGACAUUGAAACAAUAUUUCUAACAUAAAGGAUGUAGGAAAUGGUUGGUGUGGAUCUAAAUAAUAAAUCCUCUCAAAAGUUGAUUGUUUUGUGAUAUCAUUAAGGAUGGUAAAACUAAAUGAUCUCUGAAAGUGUAUGCAUUCAAGGGACCAGGUUUGCAUCUAAAUGUUGUGAAACUGAUAUGAUUAAGUAUAAGAAUACUUUUGUGAAGAUGAAAUUAUAUUUUACCCUUCUAAAUGAGAACUGCCUGCAGCUCUGCAUGUAACGUAGUCUAGGACACUCGAACGAAGACAAAAAAAUGUUUUUCACUCUUAAC